rnacentral:rRNA from 1 species
GGUUGUAAAGCUCUUUUGUCCGGGAAGAUAAUGACGGUACCUGGAGAAUAAGCUCCGGCUAACUCCGUGCCAGCAGCCGCGGUAAUACGUAGGGGGCUAGCGUUGUUCGGAAUUACUGGGCGUAAAGGGUGCGUAGGCGGUUCUUUAAGUUUGGUGUGAAAUCUCGGGGCUCAACUGGGAAGGUGCGUUUAAUACUGGGUCUCUUGACUGCGGGAGAGGUGAGUGGAAUUCCGAGUGUAGAGGUGAAAUUCAUAUAUAUUCGGAAGAACACCAGUGGCGAAUGCGGCUCACUGGACCGUUACUGACGCUGAGGCCCGAAAGCGUGGGGAGCAAACAGGAUUAGAUACCCUGGUAGUCCACGCCCUAAACGAUGAUUGCUUGCUGU